GGCACUACGGUGCUGAAGCAACAAAUGCCCUGCUUCCAGGAAAAGCCUCUAAGCAUCAGGUAACAUCAAAUCGUACCCCAAACCGACACAGGUGGUCAGGUAGAGAAUACCAAGGCGCUUGAGAGAACUCGGGUGAAGGAACUAGGCAAAAUGGUGCCGUAACUUCGGGAGAAGGCACGCUGAUAUGUAGGUGAAGUCCCUCGCGGAUGGAGCUGAAAUCAGUCGAAGAUACCAGCUGGCUGCAACUGUUUAUUAAAAACACAGCACUGUGCAAACACGAAAGUGGACGUAUACGGUGUGACGCCUGCCCGGUGCCGGAAGGUUAAUUGAUGGGGUUAGCGCAAGCGAAGCUCUUGAUCGAAGCCCCGGUAAACGGCGGCCGUAACUAUAACGGUCCUAAGGUAGCGAAAUUCCUUGUCGGGUAAGUUCCGACCUGCACGAAUGGCGUAAUGAUGGCCAGGCUGUCUCCACCCGAGACUCAGUGAAAUUGAACUCGCUGUGAAGAUGCAGUGUACCCGCGGCAAGACGGAAAGACCCCGUGAACCUUUACUAUAGCUUGACACUGAACAUUGAGCCUUGAUGUGUAGGAUAGGUGGGAGGCUUUGAAGUGUGGACGCCAGUCUGCAUGGAGCCGGCCUUGAAAUACCACCCUUUAAUGUUUGAUGUUCUAACGUGGACCCGUAAUCCGGGUUGCGGACAGUGUCUGGUGGGUAGUUUGACUGGGGCGGUCUCCUCCUAAAGAGUAACGGAGGAGCACGAAGGUUGGCUAAUCCUGGUCGGACAUCAGGAGGUUAGUGCAAUGGCAUAAGCCAGCUUGACUGCGAGCGUGACGGCGCGAGCAGGUGCGAAAGCAGGUCAUAGUGAUCCGGUGGUUCUGAAUGGAAGGGCCAUCGCUCAACGGAUAAAAGGUACUCCGGGGAUAACAGGCUGAUACCGCCCAAGAGUUCAUAUCGACGGCGGUGUUUGGCACCUCGAUGUCGGCUCAUCACAUCCUGGGGCUGAAGUAGGUCCCAAGGGUAUGGCUGUUCGCCAUUUAAAGUGGUACGCGAGCUGGGUUUAGAACGUCGUGAGACAGUUCGGUCCCUAUCUGCCGUGGGCGCUGGAGAACUGAGGGGGGCUGCUCCUAGUACGAGAGGACCGGAGUGGACGCAUCACUGGUGUUCGGGUUGUCAUGCCAAUGGCACUGCCCGGUAGCUAAAUGCGGAAGAGAUAAGUGCUGAAAGCAUCUAAGCACGAAACUUGCCCCGAGAUGAGUUCUCCCUGACUCCUUGAGAGUCCUGAAGGAACGUUGAAGACGACGACGUUGAUAGGCCGGGUGUGUAAGCGCAGCGAUGCGUUGAGCUAACCGGUACUAAUGAACCGUGAGG
rnacentral:rRNA from 1 species